AGGUUGACCUCGGAUCAGGUAGGGAUACCCGCGAACUUAGCUAA
rnacentral:rRNA from 1 species